GACGAACGCUGGCGGCGUGCUUAACACAUGCAAGUCGAACGAUGAACCCGGAGCUUGCUCCGGCGGAUUAGUGGCGAACGGGUGAGUAACACGUGAGUAACCUGCCCUUGACUCUGGGAUAACUGCGGGAAACUGUAGCUAAUACCGGAUACGACCCUCGGCGGCAUCGCCAGGGGGUGGAAAGAAUUUCGGUCAAGGAUGGACUCGCGGCCUAUCAGCUAGUUGGUGAGGUAACGGCUCACCAAGGCGACGACGGGUAGCCGGCCUGAGAGGGUGACCGGCCACACUGGGACUGAGACACGGCCCAGACUCCUACGGGAGGCAGCAGUGGGGAAUAUUGCACAAUGGGCGCAAGCCUGAUGCAGCAACGCCGCGCGAGGGAUGACGGCCUUCGGGUUGUAAACCUCUUUUAGUAGGGAAGAAGCGAAAGUGACGGUACCUGCAGAAAAAGCACCGGCUAACUACGAGCCAGCCGCCGCCGUAA
rnacentral:rRNA from 1 species